CAGUAUUUACCGCAUGGUAGAUAUUUGAAAGGAGCAAUUGCUUCACUAUGAGAGGGACCUGCGUUGUAUUAGCUAGUUGGUGAGGUAACGGCUCACCAAGGCUUCGAUACAUAGCCGACCUGAGAGGGUGAUCGGCCACACUGGGACUGAGACACGGCCCAGACUCCUACGGGAGGCAGCAGUAGGGAAUCUUCGGCAAUGGGGGCAACCCUGACCGAGCAACGCCGCGUGAGUGAAGAAGGUUUUCGGAUCGUAAAGCUCUGUUGUAAGAGAAGAACUGUGAGAAGAGUGGAAAGUUUCUCACUUGACGGUAUCUUAC
rnacentral:rRNA from 1 species